CUGUGAUGAACUAUGGGUAUCCAGGCAGAAGGACAAGACCAGAUGGGACAGACUGGCCCCAGGGAUCCCUGUCCCCAAGCACAGUUCCCUUCCUAGUUCUCAGUAUGGUUCCCCAUUAAUUGAAUGACUUGUCAUCUCCACUUGACUGACAGGCAAAUUCAUUUAGCUAACAAUGGCACUCCAUGACAGCCCCUCAAUUCCCCUUCUGCUUUCCCCCUCUACUCUCAAUUCCCAUGGGACUCUGGCUCCCAGCUCCAGCUGAGUCCCAGAACUCAGCCUGAGGCAUUCAUGAACUCCCCAAAUGGUUGGGGAUACAGAACUGUGUGCUGGAAGAGUAGGAGAAGACUUGUGAAACUUCAGCUGGAACCUAAUAAUAAUGUUUGAAUUUAUGGAAAGCAGGAAGAUAGUAUUUCAGCAGGGAGAACAGGAAGCAAAUUCACUAUAAAUAAACUUGAAGCUCCACCCAAAAGAAUAAUGGGAGAUAAAAUCCAGGCAAGAUCCCUGAUGAUUUCACGCUUCCUCCUGAAAAAUCUGGAGCUCAAUUGGGGAAGAUCAGAUGAUCCUGGGUGCCUUACUUCUUUGAUUAACUUGGUUCUGAUCCUGGGCCCUUUAUUUAUUUGGUUAACAGGUAAAAUGGUUGAGUAGAGAGGGGUACAUAUAAAGGGCAAAGAAGAGGAACCUUGGGCUGAGCCGAGAGUCCUGCAGAGAGAUGGUUAAAGCCAACGAUAGCUGGUCACGUUGAAUGAAUUCUGUUCAUCCUGUUCCUCCCCUAGCUGCUAAAACAGGUGUUUCUCU